UAACGGCGAGUGAAGCGGGAAAAGCUCAAAUUUAAAAUCUGGCAGUGUUAGACUGUCCGAGUUGUAAUCUAGAGAAGCGUUUUCCGUGCUGGACUGUGUACAAGUUUCCUGGAUACGGAACAUCAUAGAGGGUGAGAAUCCCGUCCUUGACACAGAACUACCAGUGCCCUGUGAUGCGCUCUCGACGAGUCGAGUUGUUUGGGAUUGCAGCUCAAAAUGGGAGGUAAAUUCCUUCUAAAGCUAAAUAUUGGCGAGAGACCGAUAGCGAACAAGUACCGUGAGGGAAAGAUGAAAAGCACUUUGGAAAGAGAGUUAAACAGUACGUGAAAUUGUUAAAAGGGAAACGCUUGAAGUCAGUCAUGUCUGCUUGGACUCAACCUUACCUUUGGUUUGGUGUAUUUCCUUGCGGACGGGCCAGCGUCCAUGUGGUUUAUCGGAAAAGGGGUGAGAGAAUGUGGCUCCUUUGGGAGUGUUAUAGCUUUCACUCGUACGCGGGGAACGAUAUGGAGUGGUACAGCACGCUUCGGUGGUGUCUUGUGCUGGCAUAAUGGCUUUAAACGACCCGUCUUGAAACACGGACCAAGGAGUCUAACAUGUCUGCAAGUGUUUGGGUGGAAAACCCGAGCGCGUAAUGAAAGUGAUAGCUGGGAACCCCCUUUUGGGGAGGCACCGGUGCCCCGAGCUGACCUUCUGUGACGCAUC
rnacentral:rRNA from 1 species